rnacentral:rRNA from 1 species
GAUGAACGCUGGCGGCGUGCCUAAUACAUGCAAGUCGAGCGAACAGAUGAGGAGCUUGCUCCUCUGACGUUAGCGGCGGACGGGUGAGUAACACGUGGAUAACCUACCUAUAAGACUGGGAUAACUACGGGAAACCGGACCUAAUACCGGAUAAUAUAUUGAACCGCAUGGUUCAAUAGUGAAAGACGGUUUUGCUGUCACUUAUAGAUGGAUCCGCGCCGCAUUAGCUAGUUGGUAAGGUAACGGCUUACCAAGGCAACGAUGCGUAGCCGACCUGAGAGGGUGAUCGGCCACACUGGAACUGAGACACGGUCCAGACUCCUACGGGAGGCAGCAGUAGGGAAUCUUCCGCAAUGGGCGAAAGCCUGACGGAGCAACGCCGCGUGAGUGAUGAAGGUCUUCGGAUCGUAAAACUCUGUUAUUAGGGAAGAACAAAUGUGUAAGUAACUAUGCACGUCUUGACGGUACCUAAUCAGAAAGCCACGGCUAACUACGUG